rnacentral:rRNA from 1 species
CUAGGAAUCUUGGGAAUGCGCGAAAGCGUGACCCAGCAACGCCGCGUGGGCGAUGAAGGCCUUCGGGUCGUAAAGCCCUUUUGCAGGGGACGAUAGUGACGGUACCUUGCGAAUAAGCCACGGCUAACUACGUGCCAGCAGCCGCGGUAAUACGUAGGUGGCAAGCGUUGUCCGGAUUUACUGGGCGUAAAGGGCGUGCAGGCGGUCUGUUAAGUUCAGGGUGAAAGCUCCCGGCUCAACUGGGAGAGGUCCUUGGAUACUGGCAGACUUGAGGGAGGUAGAGGAGAGUGGAAUUCCCGGUGUAGUGGUGAUAUGCGUAGAUAUCGGGAGGAACACCAGUGGCGAAGGCGGCUCUCUGGGCCUUUCCUGACGCUGAGACGCGAAAGCGUGGGGAGCGAACCGGAUUAGAUACCCGCGUAGUCC